UACGUAGGGUGCGAGCGUUGUCCGGAAUUAUUGGGCGUAAAGGGCUCGUAGGCGGUUUGUCGCGUCGUCUGUGAAAACCAGCAGCUCAACUGUUGGCUUGCAGGCGAUACGGGCAGACUUGAGUAUUUCAGGGGAGACUGGAAUUCCUGGUGUAGCGUUGAAAUGCGCAGAUAUCAGGAGGAACACCGGUGGCGAAGGCGGGUCUCUGGGAAAUAACUGACGCUGAGGAGCGAAAGCGUGGGUAGCGAACAGG
rnacentral:rRNA from 1 species